rnacentral:tRNA from 14 species
GACUUAAAAUCCGUCGAUUUCAAAAAUCAUGAGG